rnacentral:tRNA from 1 species
GGAUGUAUAGCUCAGUGGUAGAGCAUUCGACUGCAGAUGGGGAGGUCCCCGGUUUAAACCCGGGUGUCCU